CUUCUUACCCAUUCAAAGUUUUCUAAUAGAUUCUUUAAGCUGUGAUAUUAUUUCUUUGGUAGUACUUUUUAUAACUAUAGUUGAUAUUUGGUCUCUAUGUUCAGUUGCCCAGAAUUUUAAAUACUAGAAAUAUUAGAUUUAAAAAAUACUUGCUAAAGCUUGUAUGGGAAAGCCUUCUAAAUCCACUUAACAAUACAUUAUUUGUAUUUUUAAUGCAGUUACCAAAUGACCUUAUGUACGCAUAGUGGUUGUGAGAGUACUUUGAUAUUGUUUGUAUUCACAGUUGACAUGUUCAUGCAUGUUGUAAGAAUGUACAAGGGGAAAUCUAGAGGAUGGAGGAGUGGAGGAACCUAGAAUAUGCCUUGAUGUAUAUGUUGAUAUAAGAGUUUUUCAGAGAUGAAAGCUGCCACAAUUAAAUAUUAUUAUGUACUUCCAGUGCUUCACAAAUACUUCUGCCAGAGUGCUGACUAGCUAAUAUCUGCACAGCUGCAGUUAGUGGAGUCCUCUGCAAGGGACUGGUAAUCAUGAAAGCUACUAUAGAAUCUCUGGCUUACAUUGACGGUGGGCAGUAUGAAUUAAAUUUGCUUUGCUGGGUUUGCUCUGAUGUUGAUCAUGUUCCUGCAUUUCCAUUUUACUUACAAACACACACAGUAUUUGGUUUCUUGUUUUCUUUUUCAAGUGUUACUUUCCCAGAAGACUGUCUAUUUUUACUCAGCAUAUGUAUUGCAGACAAAAGAGGAAUUAUCUUAAUUUUUGGAGACGAUAGCCCUCUAGGCUGGAGUGGGUAAGAAUAGGAGUGGGUUAGGCCAGGUCCUUGAGCCGUUUUCUUUGUGUAGUUGCCUGCUGGAAGGAGACUGUAUCUUUCUCCUGAGGCCUUUGUGCUACCCUUUGUAUAGGAUAUUAAAAUCAGCUUUAGCUUCUCUUCCCUCAUCCCAUGCUCCUAGGUAAGUCUUCAUGCUUGUGGAGUUUGGGAUGUGAGUGUUCUGCAGUAUCUGUGCAGUCUCAAACAUCCAGGGGCUAUGUUGGUAUAUCUGAGAGAAUACAUUCAGUACAUUUACCUAUAAUAUAUUCUCCCUUGGUGGAUUUUGCUGUCUAAUCAGGAUUUCUUAAUAUCUGUCAGAUAGUCAGCCUGUUGUCACAAGGGUCAUGUGAAUUUAGCUAGGGAAAUGUAACGACUUGUUCCUUUAAAAAAAAAAAAUUGAAAACCUAUACCUUUUAUAUAUUCAGUACAUUAAUUCCAUUAUGUAAAAUAAUGCUAAUAUGUAAUAAAAUUGCAUGAAUAGCCAAAGUUCUAAGUAUGUUUUCAGUGUUACUGUCUUGACUAUAAGCAUCUCUGGACAAGGCAUUAGGGAGACCUUCAUAAUCUUAAGGUGUUUAUAAGAAAAGGGAAAAACCUGCAUCUUCAGUAAUAAUUUCAGUUACCAAAUCUGGUCCAGAGCUUUGAAAAGUUAGCCUUACAAUUUGCAAGCACAGUUUUGAGGACUGGUUGCUUUUUAAAAAAUGAUAUAUUAAUUACUGCACAUCCUAACAUAAUGAAGUUUCUCCUUGAGAAAUCAGGUGUGUUUUUUCCUAUUGCUUAGACUUUUUGCAAGAAAAAGUUACAGCAAUUUUUUUUACAAGAGUUGGGGAAAGUGUUAAAUAUUUUGUUUAAGAACUGAUAGAGGGAUUUGCUUUGUUUAAUAAUGCAGGUUUGCUUUAAACAUUGUAGUAAAUCAUGUUAAUAUGUAUGUGCAAGAAGACUUGCAGAACAAUUGUAUUUUUUAAAAUAAAUAUUUUUUAACAAAAAUUUAUCUUGGAAUAUUAUUCUCUUCCACAGUAGACAGAAGAUGUCAUUACAGUACAAUUUUUAUAAAACUUUUGCUAGAAGUAUUUGAAAUCAGACCAGAGAAAUAAGUAUGAAGGAUGUCCUGUAGCAGAGAUAAGCAUUUGGCUGCCAAACCAAAAUCCAACUAGCCCCUCUCCGACCAGAGGUGGCUCUAAAGAUCUUGCAUGAACGGGCAGGCAAGCAAUGCAAGCAAGGUGGUUGCUUAUUGUGAAGUUUCUCUUUGGAUUGCAGCAUGGAAGCAAAGUAGCACCAAGGGCUACGUUUGGGUUGGGAUUAUUUAGUGCUACUUAUACAGCCUGUUUUUAAAGUGACUGAAUCCAAAUCCCUUCUUCCCUGUGUUCCCAAUAGCCCAUCAAUGCAGUGUUUCCUUUUCAUAUACCAUCUUUAGAAGCAAAGGAGCGUCUGGGUUACAGCAGGCUUCAGUUUUAUUUCACAGCCUCACAGAUGGAAGAAGCCAUUGGAGUGCUGAGUUCUCAUUGUAGACUGCAAUACGUGCAGCAGUUUGGUACUUUGCCCGGUCAGGCGAGGUGCUUGAGUGGGCGGUAGCGAUCAAUUCCAGACUCUCUUGGGUGAAAUGAUUUUCUAGAUUCAUUUCAAUCUAGUUUCAGGCCUGGCUAUGGAACAGAAACUGUUAGUCACCUUGUGAGAUGAUCUGGGAAAAAGACAGGGAGAUUGCAACCAUAUUGGUCCUCUUGGACCUCUCAGUGGCUUUCAAUACCAUUGACUAUGGUAUCCUCCUAGAUAGGCUUUCAGAGUUGGGAUGAGGGGGUACUGUACUAUGAUAAUUCCAUUCUACUUGGCCAUUUCCAGAAGGUGGUUCUGGGGAAUUCAUUAUUAUUUAUUAAAUGUAUAUGCCACCCGACUCUCAGCAACUCUGGGCGAUUUCUCUUCUGCCUCGUGGUGGUUGGGCCUUGGGGUCUCUCAGAGCUCCACUUUAUCUCCUGUGCUUUUUAACACCUACAUCAGUGUUUCUCAACCUCAGCAACUUUUAAGAUGUGUGGAUUUCAACUUCUGCUGGCUGGGGAGUUCUGGGAGUUGAAGUCCACACAUCUUAAAGUUGCUCAGGUUGAGAAACACUGGUCUACGUGCAACUGCUUGGAGAGGUCAUCAGCUGAGGAUAUGUCAGUCAUCAAUAUGUAGAUGACACCCAGUUCCACCUCUCCUUCUCAUCUAACCAGGUGAGUUGCUUGGUGUUCUGAAUGAGUGCUUGGGCAAGUAAUGGACUAGAUGAGGGCCAAUCAACUAAGACUCGGUCUGGACAAAACAGAAAUCUUGUUUAUGGAUGGUGCAUCUGUUCAGCCAAGUGGUGCCCUGCCUGUCCUAAUGGAGUCUCUACUCAUCCUAAAGGAGCAGGUUCAUACUUUGGGGGUGUUGCUAAUCCAUCACUGUCACUAGAGGUCCAAAUGGCUGAUUUACCAACUUUGACCUUUCCUGGACAGAGACAGUUUCACAACACUUAUUCACACUCUGAUAACUUACCAGCUGGAUUACUGCAAUGUGUUAUAUGUGGAGCUGCCUUUGAGAGUGGUCCAGAAACUAUAGUUUGUUCAAAAUAGGCUAGAAUGCUCAGUGGGGCUGGCUGAUGCAACCAAGUUAUGUCAAUUCUUCACCAUCGACACCAGCUGCCAGUCCAUUUCUAGACCCAGUUCAAAGUGCUUUUUGACCUUUAAAGCCCUAAACCAAAUUACCUGAAGGACUGUCUUCUCCCAUAUGUACAUACUGGGCCUUAAGAUCAUCUCACAAAACUCUCCUCUAGGUCCCCUCCAGUAGGCCUCUACAAGGGGGAGAACUUUUUCUGUGGUGGAAACCAAUUUAUGGAAUCCCUCUGAGGGACACUUGACUGGCACCUGCAUUUGCAUCAUUUUGGCACCAGGUAAAGAUCUUUUUAUUUUCCGAGGCUUUUUAAUUGACAUUCAAUUCUA